UACGGAAGGCAGCAGUGGGGAAUAUUGCACAAUGGGCGCAAGCCUGAUGCAGCCAUGCCGCGUGUAUGAAGAAGGCCUUCGGGUUGUAAAGUACUUUCAGUCGUGAGGAAGGUGUUAAGGUUAAUAACCUUAGCAAUUGACGUUAGCGACAGAAGAAGCACCGGCUAACUCCGUGCCAGCAGCCGCGGUAAUACGGAGGGUGCGAGCGUUAAUCGGAAUUACUGGGCGUAAAGGGCACGCAGGCGGUUAAUUAAGUUGGAUGUGAAAUCCCCGGGCUUAACCUGGGAAUGGCAUUCAAGACUGGUUAGCUAGAGUCUUGUAGAGGGGGUAGAAUUCCGAUGUGUAGCGGUGAAAUGCGUAGAGAUGUGGAGGAAUACCGGUGGCGAAGGCGGCCCCUGGGACAAAGACUGACGCUCAUGUGCGAAAGCGUGGGGAGCAAACAGGAUUAGAUACC
rnacentral:rRNA from 1 species